GGAAUUUAAAAAUGAAGCAAGAGAAGGAUCAAAAGAACUCAUCAGAAGAUGAAAAAAUAAUACAUUACUGUACAAAAUGAAUAAUGGCGAUUGCAGUUUCAACGUGAAACGACAUUAUAAAAAGAGGCAAAUUUGACACACCCCAUGUAACAUUGGAGAACUUGUACCGACGUCGACAGUAUGGUCGUAAAUCGAGCGAGACUUAUAGCAUAUUUUGUAACCAAUUUGAUGCAAUAAAUUUCAUCCUCUGCGGACGAGAGAACGUGAUAAUCCGUAAUAUGUAAGAACCGCUAAUGUCCUUUCAUUUAUUCAUGGAAAGCGAAUCGACAACGAAAAUGCGAAAUCCUUCGAGCUCAUCGAACGAUCAUUAAUCAGCAUGUAUUAUGGAUUUAAUCUCCAAAUCUAUAAGCGAAUCUGUCGUAAAAGUAAUGUAGUGACGACAACCGAUGAAAGUACCAAAUUCUCUACCACUGAGAUAACUGUGAUCACUGAGAUAACUCCGAAUCUAAUUAAAAAACCAGUAAAACCGGCUUUUGUGAGAAUUUAUUCUUCGAUCGUGAGAGA